AACGUAGGAGGCGAGCGUUAUCCGGAUUUACUGGGCGUAAAGCGCACGCAGGCGGCCGUGCAAGUCGGAUGUGAAAGCUCCUGGCUUAACUGGGAGAGGCCAUUCGAAACUGCAGGGCUUGAGGUUGGGAGAGGGGUGCGGAAUUCCCGGUGUAACGGUGGAAUGUGUAGAUAUCGGGAGGAACACCAGUGGCGAAAGCGGCACUCUGGCCCACACCUGACGCUGAUGUGCGAAAGCGUGGGGAG
rnacentral:rRNA from 1 species